GUUUGGCCAACACAUGGACCCAGCUGACUCAGAUCGGGUGCGGAACGUCCUUCAGGCUCAAGGAUGCCGUCUCGCCGAACACACUGAAAAUUUCCAGUGGAGCCAACACCAGCCCGGCACCAGUAGCUGCCACGGAAUCCUCUUGUAUCCAUAACGGAAGCAUGAGCGACCACUGAAUGGAGCCGCAAUGCGGAGAGGUCAGACGUGGGCAUCCUUUGUGAAGUCCAUCCCGAAAGUGUUCCGCCAAAAGCCAGGGGAACAACAGGACGCUCCUAGAUGCAUUCUUUCAAGGGCUGUCCCCCACGUUAAAUGACCAGCUGACUCCGCUGGACUUGCCGACAGACCUGGACCCACUCAUCACUUUCACUUUAAAGACAGACAAGAGACUCAUGGAUCGGGAACAAGACAACGCCUUAGAAUCUCCAAUUAAUGCAUGUUUUUGGGAUGUGGAAGGAAAUUUGAAACUGUCAGGCCAACACUUCACACCACCUCCACCGUGCCGCCCCAAGUAAUCCGUCCAUACAAAAUAUGCAGAACAAAAAAGACAGGAAAUUAAGAUUUGUGUAAUAAUGUGAAAUGACACAGAACAAGGUAUUGAACAGAUGACAAAAGGGAAAUGGAAAAAGUCAUGGAAAACCAAGACAACAACUAAAAUCUAUCAAAUAAUCAAACAGCAAUGCAGCCCCUUGUCGGUGCAAAUGAACAUCAGAUGUUUCAUUCCUGAUUAAUGGCCUACAAAAAGGCCUCAUUGGCAAGGUGUGAGUUUUCAAGUAACUUUAUUAUCAGAUGUGUUGUACAUCCCGUUAAUUGGACACUGAAUUGCCUCUAGGUGUGAUUGUGAGUGUGACUGUUGUCUGUUUCUAUGUGCCCUGCAAUUGGCUGGAAAGCAGUUCAGGGUGUCCCUGCCUGCUCCCUGAUGACAGCUGGGAUUGGCUCCAACACUCCUUUGACCCUUGUGAGGUUUAAGCGGUAAAACAAAAAUGGAUGGAUUGAUGUGAUGUACAUCCAUGAUUUACAACAUACCUGAAAUAGCAAUGCAAUACAUGGGACUAUCAAGUGUCUUGAAGCUGUCAUUGCAAAGGCUUUUAUUGAAUAAAUACCAGUUGACCAGCUCAAUACUACUUCCCUGUGUCAUUUCGCAUCAUUACACACAGCUAUAUUACUGAUCAUUUUUGUUGUACUUUCUUUGUAUGCAUGGAUUAUUUGGGUCGUUCCCAACAUCUGGUGAAUUGUUCAUUGUAAUAGCGGCUUUGUACAUAUAUUUGAUGAGAAAAAUGCUGAGGUGUUAAAUACUUAUCCCAGUCACUGUAAAUAUUCGAUAAUAUUUUUCAAUAAGGCUUGCUAACUGCUGAGGGACACAAUUAGUCUUAUAAACCUCACCCUACAGGUUUUAUCAGGUUGUUCGUUUCUGCACAUCCCUUAAAAUGUAAUUCAACGUUAGCAUUCAUUGGUUCACUAUGAUAUUUAUUG